AGACACUGCCCAGACACCUACGGGUGGCUGCAGUCGAGAAUCUUUCGCAAUGGGCGAAAGCCUGACGAAGCGACGCCGUGUGAGCGAAGAAGGCCUUCGGGUUGUAAAGCUCUUUCGCUAGGGAACAAGAAAGGAGCAUUAAUAACGCUCUAAUUUGAUGGUACUUGGUAAAGAAGCACCGGCUAACUCCGUGCCAGCAGCUGCGGUAAUACGGAGGGUGCAAGCAUUGAUCGGAAUUACUGGGCGUAAAGGGUGCGUAGGCGGUUUGUUAAGUCAGAUGUGAAAUUCCGCGGCUCAACUGCGGAGCUGCAUUUGAAACUGGCAAACUAGAGCAUAACUAGGGAAAACGGAAUUCCACGUGUAGCGGUGAAAUGCGUAGAUAUGUGGAAGAACACCGGUGGUGAAGACGGUUUUCUGGGUUAUAGCUGACGCUGAGGCACGAAAGCUAGGGGAGCAAACAGGAUUAGAUACCCUGGUAGUCCUAGCUGUAAA
rnacentral:rRNA from 1 species